rnacentral:rRNA from 1 species
AGGACGAACGCUGGCGGCGUGCUUAACACAUGCAAGUCGAACGGUAAGGCCCUUCGGGGUACACGAGUGGCGAACGGGUGAGUAACACGUGGGUGAUCUGCCCUGCACUUUGGGAUAAGCCUGGGAAACUGGGUCUAAUACCGAAUAUGACCAUGGGAUGCAUGUCUUGUGGUGGAAAGCUUUUGCGGUGUGGGAUGGGCCCGCGGCCUAUCAGCUUGUUGGUGGGGUAACGGCCCACCAAGGCGACGACGGGUAGCCGGCCUGAGAGGGCGACCGGCCACACUGGGACUGAGACACGGCCCAGACUCCUACGGGAGGCAGCAGUGGGGAAUAUUGCACAAUGGGCGAAAGCCUGAUGCAGCGACGCCGCGUGAGGGAUGACUGCCUUCGGGUUGUAAACCUCUUUCAGCAGGGACGAAGCGAAAGUGACGGUACCUGCAGAAGAAGCACCGGCCAACUACGUGCCAGCAGCCGCGGUAA